ensembl:lncRNA
CCGGAAUGAUAGCCAGGAGAGAAGCAGCAUGGAAGGGAUGUCGUUUCCUGUACAGGUCGGUGGAAAGCGAUACACCGGGCCGCAGGAGAGUCAAAGAGAGUCAAUACAAGUUCAAGUUAGGCAAUAGUCCAAAAACAUCCAUGGUACAAGGUAAAAUGGAAGGAUGAAAGCAGAAGUAGACAGGUGUCUGCUCAGAAUAGGGUGCCCAGAUAUAUCACAGUAGACAGGUGUCUGCUCAGAAUAGGGUGCCCAGGUAUAUCACAGUAGACAGGUGUCUGCUCAGAUAAUGCCCCGGUGCAGAGUAGGGUGCCCAGGUAUAUUACAGUAGACAGGUGUCUGCUCAGAUAAUGCCCCGGUGCAGAAUAGGGUGCCCAGGUAUAUCACAGUAGACAGGUGUCUGCUCAGAUAAUGCCCCGGUGCAGAGUAGGGUGACCAGGUAUAUCACAGUAGACAGGUGUCUGCUCAGAUAAUGCCCCGGUGCAGAGUAGGGUGCCCAGGUAUAUUACAGUAGACAGGUGUCUGCUCAGAUAAUGCCCCGGUGCAGAAUAGGGUGACCAGGUAUAUUACAGUAGACAGGUGUCUGCUCAGAUAAUGCCCCGGUGCAGAAUAGGGUACCCAGGAUGGCUGGUCUCAGACGAUCCCUCAGGUGAAGAAGCCAGAUGUCAAUGUUCUGGGCCAGCGUGUACUUAUUUGUUU